rnacentral:lncRNA from 1 species
CGGCGCCGACUCAUUCAGAUUGAGGAAGAUUCUGCUGAAAGAACCGACUGCAAAAGUCAUUGGGUCGCCUGGAGAGGCCUUCAUGGACUCGACCAAUACUUGAAAAAGGUUAGUACGAGGCAGAUUAUAACAAAGACUCGGUGAUACCCAAUUCGCCCGUGUGAAAGCUUGGCUUGUGGCUUGUGAGGAAGUGCAUCAUGAAUUCCCAGUGAUAUCAAAGAACGGCUGGGCUUAUCCGAGUAGGUGGCUGCCAGUUGUCCUGAAGAGGAACGUUCUUUCGAUCUUCGUCUUCAGAACCAAGUCACCGGACCAGGGCAUUCAUAAUGUAAAAGAACAUAACAUGAAGUUGCACAUAUCUUUAAAGAACUAUAAUGUAAAAGGAAAAUAAAAUAUUUACAUUACUAUACAGAACAGAAGAAUUGUGGAAAGAAAGGAAGAACAAAACAUCAUCUAGAAUCUCUGUCACUUCUAUUAAUGGCCAAGCCAUUCAGCUGGACAAUAAUGUAGAUUUAGGGACUCUGUACAGUACAAUGCAAUGUGUAUCCAUGGAUGGAUUCGCCAAAAAACUAUCUGCAAUAACAAUUAAGUUGUCAGAUCAAGUGAUGAAAAGCAUAAGAAGCAACAGUGCAAACAUAACUAUUAAAACAAGCAAAUCCUAUUUCCAUCUGAAAGAAGUUAUUGAUCAAGCAAGCAGACUGAAAUUAACUGUCAUUAUGGCCCCAAACCAGAAACAUAAGCGAUGAAAUUACGCAGCUUAAGAAUGAUGCAUCAGGCAAUGUCAUGAAAUCAACCUUCACAUUUGACAACAGAAAGGGAAUUUAAGCAAUGCUAGAAACAUGAUUAGGCACAUUUGCAACAAUCUACACAAGUAAAUUGUUUCAUCAGUUUCGGAAGAAUAAUAAGAAUGUUCAUCAUAAGCCUACACAGGCUAAUGAUCUUCAGGAGUAGUUAUUCCAGCAGGUGCCACUGAGAUGGCGAAAAUAUCUCAAAACUACGAAAGGGAAUGUUUCAUUCAGGAAUUCAGGUUGAUCGGGGCUGAGUAUGGCGACACCAUUCAGUUUUAGUAUAGUACAGACCUACAGAAUGACACCCUUUAAAAUGGAAACAAUAGAACUUGGAACAGAGACAAUUCUUUGAGAAGUUGUAACAUCUAUAGACAUGGAAGUAACUAUUACCUCUUGACAAUUGUAUCAGAAAUUAGUAAGCCAUGGCUAGCUAAUGGAAACAAAAUGUCAGAAACCAUCAUCUAUGUAAUCGUAAUGCCUAAAAGACUGAACCACAGGAACAAGGAUAUGCCUGACAGGAUUAACAGAAGUGAGUACGACAGAGUUCUCCCUAACACACCAUAACUGAUCCACGUAAAACUACUCUGAAUAAAGUCUCCCAUUAGCCUCUUGUUAGGUACUUAAUUACUGGAACAGAUUUGCCAAACAGAAACCUCAGAGCAAAUUGACACACCGCCGGGUAUGUCAGGAUACAGAGCAGAGAGGGUAACCAACAGAAGGUAUCCGCAAUCACUUGAUAUCACAAAUUGUGCAAGAAAAAGAAGGACAUAACAUGGCAUCAUAGUAUCCACAAUCGCUAUGCAAGUUUCCCCAAGUU